rnacentral:rRNA from 1 species
GGGGAAUAUUGCACAAUGGGCGAAAGUCUGACGGAGCAACGCCGCGUGAGUGAUGAAGGUUUUCGGAUCGUAAAGCUCUGUUGCCAGGGAAGAACGUCUUCUGGAGUAACUGCCAGGAGAGUGACGGUACCUGAGAAGAAAGCCCCGGCUAACUACGUGCCAGCAGCCGCGGUAAUACGUAGGGGGCAAGCGUUGUCCGGAAUUAUUGGGCGUAAAGCGCGCGCAGGCGGCUGUUUAAGUCUGGUGUAUAAUCCUGGGGCUCAACUCCGGGUCGCACUGGAAACUGGACGGCUUGAGUGCAGAAGAGGAGAGUGGAAUUCCACGUGUAGCGGUGAAAUGCGUAGAGAUGUGGAGGAACACCAGUGGCGAAGGCGACUCUCUGGGCUGUAACUGACGCUGAGGCGCGAAAGCGUGGGGAGCAAAC